CCAGCAGAAUUAAAAUGAACUUUAUUUACAGAUGGUUGACUUUGAAGAUGGACAAGGAGCCCCCAAGGGGGAGGUGGAGGCCCCUGAACUGCCAGAGAUCAAGCUCUUCGGCAAAUGGUCCCUAGAUGAGGUCCAGCUCAGCGACAUGUCCCUCCAGGAUUACAUCGCUGUGAAGAAGUACUAUGCCAAGUACUUGCCCCACUCUGC